AUUUGGACUAUUAUUAGUUGUAAAAUUAUUAGGGUUGUCUGAAAAUACAAAAAAUCCUUGCCUUCGACGGAGUCGGCAUAAUAUCGCCGUUCGGAAAAAUGAUUCCGGGAGAAGCAUUAGACGCGCAUGCAAACUAUGUUAUGCGAAUAAAAGACGUCGAAUGGACCGAACAAAGGCACAAAAGAAUUUGAAGAAAACAACAACUUUGCUGACACCCGAAUACGGGUGUCGUGGCAGUCAACGUGUUAAAAUAUAUU
rnacentral:misc_RNA from 1 species